CGCGAGUAUUCAGAGUUUGAUCCUGGCGUCAGGAUGAACGCUAGCUACAGGCUUAACGACAUGCAAGUCGAGGGGCAGCGGGAACUUUAGCUUGCUAAGUUUGCCGGCGACCGGCGCACGGGUGAGUAACACGUAUCCAACCUGGCCCAUACUCGGGUAUAGCCUCUCGAAAGGGAGAUUAAUCCCCGAUGUUGUUGUUACAUCGCAUGAUGUUUCAACCAAAGUUAUUCGGUAUGGGAUGGGGAUGCGUUCCAUUAGGUAGUAGGCGGGGUAACGGCCCACCUAGCCGACGAUGGAUAGGGGUUCUGAGAGGAAGGUCCCCCACACUGGAACUGAGACACGGUCCAG
rnacentral:rRNA from 1 species